rnacentral:lncRNA from 1 species
GGAACAGAGACCAACUCCGUUUCCCGAUCCCUUUGCAAUCUGCAUUGAACCAUGAGUCAAGUUCUUGAUAAAGGAGUGAAAAUGGUAAGUCUAAAGCAAUGAAAAGCUGCUGUAUUGACUACACAUGCCUUCAUUUCUUCUACCCUGCUUCUUUCAUGCCUGCUUAUCUGAAUGACACCAGGAUGACAUUUAAGGCACAUCUGAAGAUGGGGAAACCACAGCACAGAAUAAGGCUGGGCCCUUGAAUCAAUAAAUGAAGGAGAACUACUCAAGAGAACAAAACCACCAGCAAUAUCCACCUGUAUUUGUCUUUUCAUAAUGUGUGACACAUGUGCUCAUGGAUUAUUGUCCGAAGCAAGACAUGUGACCAAGCCUAACAUCAACUGGGUGAAGAGCUAUAUGUUCCUUUCUCAAGAGG